rnacentral:rRNA from 1 species
AUGGCGCUCGUUCCUCUCCUCCUCUCGCUGCUCCUCGUCUCCUGCGCCGCGCAGUCGCCGUCCGCGUCCAAGGCUGCCCCGGUCGGCGCCUUCCCGCCGCAGACGUUCGCCGCGGCGCCGACAACGGUGAAAUCACCGCCGCAGGCCUCCUCGCCGUCGCAGGUGUCUGCAGCGCCGCCGACGUUCUCGGCCGCCUCGCCGUCACAGGUGUCUGCGGCACCGCCGACGACCUCGGCCGCCUCGCCGUCACAGGUGUCUGCAGCACCUCCGACGACCGUCGCUGCCUCGGCGCCACAGGUGUCUGCCGCGCCGCCGACCGUCACCGCCUCGGCGCCGCAGGCUGCGGCGGUAGCUCCGCCGACAACGGCUGCCUCGCCGCAGUUUGCUGCCGCGUCAGCUCCGACAAAGAGCUUCGCCGCUGCACCACUCACAGCCACGUCGCCUGCGGCGUCCACUGUUGCCUCUCCGCCAUUCACUGCCACCUCAUCGCCACCCGUCUCUGCACCCCCUCUCGCAGUGACCGCGGCCCCUCCGGCGAUGCCACCCACCGUCGCCGCGCCGCUUCCGGCCCCAGUGGCCGCACCCAUGGCAACACCACCGGCCACCGCGCCUCCCGCAAUGGCUCCGUCACCCCUGCUCAUGGCUCCCGUGGCAACGCCCAUCGCCACACCAACAAUGGCCCCCGCACCGGCGCCCAUGUCACCGGCACCGGCGCCCCUUUCACCGGCACCGACACCGGCUCCGAUCAUCGCCCCGACUCCGUCGCCCACGAUGGCACCGGAGCCGGCGCCGGCCAUGGCGCCCGAGCUGUCGCCCAUCAUGGCCCCUUCGCUCUCCCCGCUCGGCUCGCUGUCGCCCGCGUUGGCGCCCGUGGCAGAGGAGGACUCGGCGGCCGGGAGCGCGCGCGCCGGCGUCGCCGCGCUCGUGGCCAUGGCGGCCGCGGGGCUCGUGGUCUUGUUUUAA